rnacentral:rRNA from 1 species
UCUAAUACCGGAUACGACYACCGACCGCAUGGUCUGGUGGUGGAAAGCUCCGGCGGUGAAGGAUGAGCCCGCGGCCUAUCAGCUUGUUGGUGGGGUGAUGGCCUACCAAGGCGACGACGGGUAGCCGGCCUGAGAGGGCGACCGGCCACACUGGGACUGAGACACGGCCCAGACUCCUACGGGAGGCAGCAGUGGGGAAUAUUGCACAAUGGGCGAAAGCCUGAUGCAGCGACGCCGCGUGAGGGAUGACGGCCUUCGGGUUGUAAACCUCUUUCAGCAGGGAAGAAGCGAAAGUGACGGUACCUGCAGAAGAAGCGCCGGCUAACUACGUG